GAUUAACGCUGGCGGCGUGCCUAACACAUGCAAGCCGAGCGGCAGCGAGUUUUACACUGAAUUCUGGAAGCUUCUAGUUGAAAGAGAAGAUUUAUUCAAGAAUUUUGUGUAAAAUGUCGGCGAGCGGCGGACGGCUGAGUAACGCGUGGGAACGUACCCCAAAGUGAGGGAUAACGCAUCGAAAGGUGUGCUAAUACCGCAUAUGGUCUUCGGAUUAAAGCCUUCGGGCGCUUUGGGAACGGCCUGCGUAAGAUUAGAUAGUUGGUGGGGUAAUGGCCUACCAAGUCGACGAUCUUUAACUGGUUUGAGAGGAUGAUCAGUCAGACUGGAACUGAGACACGGUCCAGACUCCUACGGGAGGCAGCAGUGAGGAAUCUUCCACAAUGGGCGAAAGCCUGAUGGAGCAACGCCGCGUGCAGGAUGAAGGCCUUCGGGUUGUAAACUGCUUUUAUAAGUGAGGAUUAUGACAGUAACUUAUGAAUAAGGAUCGGCUAACUACGUG
rnacentral:rRNA from 1 species